rnacentral:lncRNA from 1 species
AUAGGAACAUAAGCACACAAUUCGAGGUGGCGGUUUCCUCUGUAGCCAUAGCAUCGUGAACCUUUCUAAAAGAUCACUUGAAGAGAAAUAGGAAACAGACUGGAGAUCCUGCAUGAAGAUUAAAAAUGAUGAACUUCAUAAAAUGCAGAGUGAAAAUGUUGCACUCUAAUGAAAACUUGUGAACAGUACUUUUUUUUUUUUUAACUGAAUCAAGAUUUCCAAAGUGGAAAAGGAGACCUCCUCCAUCCUGGCUCACUUUCUGAGCUCCUCACAAGAUACAAUUAUCAGUGAACCUUGAUUUUCAUGGAACAAAGACCUAAACAGAGUGACUUCUCUCUGACUUUCAAGGAUCUUAGUCUUUCAGAUAGUGGGGAAUACUUGUGUAUUAUUUCUUCAAUCAAAUAUACCUUACUCACCAUCCAAAUGCUGCAUGUAGUAGUUUACACAAAGCAAAGCAUCAGGACCAUUGCAUCUCUGACAAAAGCAGCUUUUCAGGACCUCUCAUUCCCAAGUAAAUCCUGGCCCAUUGAAACUGGAGGAGGAUCGUCCCAUACUUACUCCCAGGAAGAGAACAGAGUUAAAAAGGAAUUACCUGGAUAA